rnacentral:lncRNA from 1 species
CAAAGUUUAAUGAUUUCAUCUUAAUUUGACUCAAGUGAAAAUUUCUCAAUUUAAUAUUAUUUCACUUAUAGGAGUUACGAUGCACAAAGUUUCAGAAUCUACUGGACCUUAUUUGCAAAGCAAGCUCAGCAAAUGGGAGGAAAAUCCAGAGCAGACCAAGGCCAAGCAGCUUCAUGAUAAGGAAGCAUGGAAGGGGAAGAGGUUCUCACCGAAGGCUUCUGAGUAGAAAUCCAUCUCAUUCUUAUCAGCCCCAAGACAGGGAAAGCCAGUGGAGAGACCCUCAACAAACUGGUUCCUUCUCUGAAUUUCAGCCCUCAGAAUACCAAAUAUUUCUAUCAAUAACAAUAUUUCUUCAAUAUGAGCCGUGGUGGCACAGUGGUUACAAUGCAGUACUGCAGGCUACUUCUGCUGACUUCCAGAGCCUGCAAUUUGGCAGUUUGAAUCUCAUCAGGCUCAAGGUUGACCCAGCCUUCCAUCCUUCCGAGGUCAGUAAAAUGAGGAGCCAGAUUGUUGGGGGCAAUAGGCUGACUCUGUAA